UAACUACAUAUGGAGUGUAACCUCGAGUUCAUUUAAAAAUAUUUGUAUAAGUUCACAAAACCGUCUUGCUAAAACCAGUAGUCACCUCAACUUAGGCUCUUGACUAUGAUUCUUGCUUCUCCAUCAAGUACUCGCGGCCGAAACGUUUCUUAAACCUAUUAGAGGGGAAAUAAGUUGAAGGAGUUACUACCUACUAAGGAAGUUGAAACCUCCCGCACCUUCCUUUGGUAGAGGGAAAGUAGACUAAGCAGCAAUUGAUUAUAAAGCACGGUUGUACGGAGCAGUGUACUAA